rnacentral:rRNA from 1 species
GAUGAACGCUGGCGGCGUGCCUAAUACAUGCAAGUCGAGCGAACAGACGAGGAGCUUGCUCCUCUGACGUUAGCGGCGGACGGGUGAGUAACACGUGGAUAACCUACCUAUAAGACUGGGAUAACUUCGGGAAACCGGAGCUAAUACCGGAUAAUAUAUUGAACCGCAUGGUUCAAUAGUGAAAGACGGUUUUGCUGUCACUUAUAGAUGGAUCCGCGCCGCAUUAGCUAGUUGGUAAGGUAACGGCUUACCAAGGCGACGAUGCGUAGCCGACCUGAGAGGGUGAUCGGCCACACUGGAACUGAGACACGGUCCAGACUCCUACGGGAGGCAGCAGUAGGGAAUCUUCCGCAAUGGGCGAAAGCCUGACGGAGCAACGCCGGGUGAGUGAUGAAGGUCUUCGGAUCGUAAAACUCUGUUAUUAGGGAAGAACAAAUGUGUAAGUAACUAUGCACGUCUUGACGGUACCUAAUCAGAAAGCCACGGCUAACUACGU